rnacentral:miRNA from 1 species
UAUGAAUGAUAUAUUUUCUUU